UACGUAGGCAGCAAGCGUUGUUCGGAGUUACUGGGCGUAAAGGGUGUGUAGGCGGUUGUUUAAGUUUGGUGUGAAAUCUCCCGGCUCAACUGGGAGGGUGCGCCGAAUACUGAAUGACUAGAGUGCGGGAGAGGAAAGUGGAAUUCCUGGUGUAGCGGUGAAAUGCGUAGAUAUCAGGAGGAACACCGGUGGUGUAGACGGCUCACUGGACCAUAACUGACGCUGAUGCACGAAAGCUGGGGGAGCAAACAGG
rnacentral:rRNA from 1 species